rnacentral:lncRNA from 1 species
GCUAGUCUUACGGAGGCUCGAACCGCUUUCAACCACAUCUGGGAGCAGCUUACUUCAAAACAGAUUUGACGUAUGUAAGCCCCAAAUAAUCAACACAGAAAGCACAGAAAAUGAAAGAAAUAGCAGUAGCUCACUUUCAAGAAAGUGGGUUUUGAUGGAAGUGUCUUGCCAUGAAUUUCAUUACAACGUGUUCAAGGUUGUUGCCACGAAUUUCAUUACAAAGGGAGAAAAUCAAGCUUCAUUUUACUGCUCAUAAGUCAUAAAAGAUCAAAAAAAGGGAGGAAAAGAUGACGUGAAAAGACCAUCCCCUUGCAACCAAAAACCUCUUCAGUUGACAAGAAGUCAAGCACAAGCUGCACAACCAAAAGGAAAAAACAAAACAGAGCAUUAUCCUAUCAACAAAACAGGAACAAAAAACAUGAAAAACUGAGAUGCUCCUGUCACAGCUUUCCUUUGUCUCAAGUAAAAUCUAAAUCCCCAAGACUUUCACAUAAGCAUUUUGUCAAACACCUUAAUAGCAUAAACUAAAAUAUGCAAAUUUUUAGAUAGUAGGGUCAGGUACCUAGAAUUAGAUACAGUUUAAUGGCUCUAGGUACAGUUUAAUGGACGGGUUGAAAAGAAGAAAAAAAAGAUAACACAAACCGAAGUAACACAGGCUAAAAAACUAUAAUGAUUAAUAGGUUUGUGCAUAAAUCGGGUUGGUUGGGCCUGUAGCAGACUCAGAACCGACCCGAUCUUGGUAGGUUCUUUAUUUUUGGACUUUAGUUCGGUUCUCGGAUCUAUAUCUAUCUGCUGGCCAGUUUUAUUUAAAGUUUUAAAAAAAAAACAAGAUGACAGUAAAAAAUAAAUAUAAAAUUUGUAUAAUAAUACAUUGUUUAAAAUAAUACAAAUUAAUAUUCAACACACAAAAAUCUCUAAUAAGUGCAUUGUAUGAUUAUAUAAUUGGGUCUAAAUUUCGAAUCUCAAGUCGAGUUCAAAUAUUAGUAUAGCCUCGAGAACCGAAUCGAAAUUUACGAGUCUAGAACUUUUAUAACCAAAACCAAACCAACGCGACAGUCUUUUGUGCACACCUAAUGAUUAAUGAGCCAAUCACCAUCAAAAAUACUUUUUGUUGUCUUCUCUUUUAUUAGCAAACAGAAGACAACACAGAAAAUUCGAAUACCAAUCUUGAUCUUUUUCGUAAUUCCUUCAAUAAAAAAAUUAUAAACCCCCAAAAUACAAGCCAAGUCCCAACGCCAAACAGCCAUAAAAAUCUACCCCCCAAACUGGAAGCCACAGAGCCUCCAUUAAAACCCUUACCUGUUUUUGAGUUUUCGGGUAGGAGGCUGUGCUAUGGGUCGAAGACUCGAAAUCCAUCACCAUAGCUUGAAUGUCGCCUGAAAUCAAAAUGAAAAAAGGCAUAUUGAUCCGCCAGGAAACUCGCCAUAGAACCCCUUACCAAUACACGCUGCUUCAAGCGCAAGGACCGGUCCAUCGUCUUCUAUAAAAGGGGAAGGUUGUCGUGGAUAGUAUUGCGCUGCGAUUGGCUCAGGUGGUUUUGCGGUAUUUUGGGUGCCGAUGGUUUUGGUCUACUAUCGGUAGCGAUGUCGUAGUGGUGGUAGGUGAGAUGGAGGUGUCAUGGCGGUGUAGUAUGCGAGGGUUUCAGAGAGGAAAGAGAGAACCACUGAUGUGUUGAUAGACUGAAAGGAGAAUGGAUGGAUGUGGGACGGAAGGGCAAGAUGGGAAAGCAAAAAUAGACGAAAAAAGCCACUGCCGCUUUAUAAUAAAUAGGAAGGAUGUGUGUGUGUGCGCG